AUGAUGGAGCAUGCUGAAUUGCUGACCAUGAUCGUAGCUGUACAAGAGCAUGAUUGGCCCCGAUGGAUGGUGCACCAACUACGACAAGUCCAACUGAACCUGCAACAUCUACGAAGGUACGACUGGCCAUUCUUCUACCGGUUCGAACCGAAGGUUUUCAAAGAGUUCUUUGGUGUGCCAUGCAGCAAAUUCGACAGCGAAGACUGCAGUGGUUGUGUGGAUAACAUCAAGAUGGUGUAUGGUCAGGACUCUCCUAAGCUUGGACACCUCAUGCGGGUCAUAAGGGAGGAAAGUAGUAAGCAUGAAGCAAGCAUGAACCGGGUUACUGGUACCUGA
rnacentral:rRNA from 1 species